rnacentral:rRNA from 1 species
AACGGGUCUUAGCUUUGCUAAGAUUGUCAGCUAAGUGGCGCACGGGUGAGUAAUAUAUAGGUAACAUGCCUUCGAGAAGGGGAUAACGUUUGGAAACGAACGCUAAUACCCUAUAUGCCUUUAAGUCUUAAGACUGCAAGGGAAAUAUUUAUAGCUCGAAGAUUGGCCUGUACAGUAUCAGCUAGUUGGUGAGGUAAUGGCUCACCAAGGCAAUGACGCUUAACUGGUUUGAGAGGAUGAUCAGUCACACUGGAACUGAGACACGGUCCAGACUCCUACGGGAGGCAGCAGUGGGGAAUAUUGCACAAUGGACGAAAGUCUGAUGCAGCAACGCCGCGUGGAGGAUGACACAUUUCGGUGCGUAAACUCCUUUUAUAUAGGAAGAUAAUGACGGUACUAUAUGAAUAAGCACCGGCUAACUCCGUGCCAGCAGCCGCGGUAAUACUGAGGGUGCAAGCGUUACUCGGAAUCACUGGGCGUAAAGAGAAUGUAGGCGGGUAGAUAAGUUUGAAGUGAAAUCCAAUGGCUCAACCAUUGAAC